rnacentral:lncRNA from 1 species
UAAUGAUGAAAAAUAACGAUACAUUGAAGAUCAAAUGUCCAUCUCAAUACUGCUUUUACAAAAGCAGAAUUUAAAAAGUGAAAUGAAAAAAA